rnacentral:rRNA from 1 species
AGUUUGAUCAUGGCUCAGGAUGAACGCUAGCGGGAGGCUUAACACAUGCAAGCCGAGGGGUAUAUUAUUUUCGGAUAAUAGAGACCGGCGGACGGGUGCGUAACGCGUAUGCAAUCUACCUUUAUCACUGGGAUAGCUUUCGGAAACGGAAAUUAAUACCGGAUAACAUUACGACUGGCAUCGGUUGUGGUUAAAAGAUUUAUCGGAUAGAGAUGAGCAUGCGUCAGAUUAGUUAGUUGGUAAGGUAACGGCUUACCAAGGCAGUGAUCUGUAGGGGUUCUGAGAGGAUUAUCCCCCACACUGGUACUGAGACACGGACCAGACUCCUACGGGAGGCAGCAGUGAGGAAUAUUGGACAAUGGGUUAGCGCCUGAUCCAGCCAUCCCGCGUGCAGGAAGACGGCCUUAUGGGUUGUAAACUGCUUUUAUACAGGAAUAAAUGUAGGUACGUGUACUUAUUUGAAUGUACUGUAAGAAUAAGCACCGGCUAACUCCGUGCCAGCAGCCGCGGUAAUACGGAGGGUGCGAGCGUUAUCCGGAUUUAUUGGGUUUAAAGGGUCCGUAGGCGGGCUAAUAAGUCAGUGGUGAAAUCCUACAGCUUAACUGUAGAACUGCCAUUGAUACUGUUAGUCUUGAGUUGAUAUGAAGUGGCUGGAAUGUGUAGUGUAGCGGUGAAAUGCAUAGAUAUUACACAGAACACCGAUAGCGUAGGCAGGUCACUAAUAUUAUACUGACGCUGAGGGACGAAAGCGUGGGGAGCGAACAGGAUUAGAUACCCUGGUAGUCCACGCCGUAAACGAUGAUUACUUGCUAUUGGUUUUAUUAUCAGUGGCUAAGCGAAAGUGAUAAGUAAUCCACCUGGGGAGUACGUUCGCAAGAAUGAAACUCAAAGGAAUUGACGGGGGCCCGCACAAGCGGUGGAGCAUGUGGUUUAAUUCGAUGAUACGCGAGGAACCUUACCAAGGCUUAAAUGUAGAUUGACAGGUUUAGAGAUAGACUUUCCUUCGGGCAAUUUACAAGGUGCUGCAUGGCUGUCGUCAGCUCGUGCCGUGAGGUGUUAGGUUAAGUCCUGCAACGAGCGCAACCCCUACCAUUAGUUGCCAGCGUUUAAAGACGGGGACUCUAAUGGGACUGCCAACGCAAGUUGUGAGGAAGGUGGGGACGACGUCAAGUCAUCACGGCCCUUACGUCUUGGGCUACACACGUGCUACAAUGGUCAGUACAGAGGGCAGCUACCCCGCGAGGGGAUGCGAAUCUUGAAAGCUGAUCUCAGUUCGGAUUGGAGUCUGCAACUCGACUCUAUGAAGCUGGAAUCGCUAGUAAUCGCGUAUCAGCCAUGACGCGGUGAAUACGUUCCCGGGCCUUGUACACACCGCCCGUCAAGCCAUGGAAGCUGGGAGUGCCUGAAGUCGGUGACCGUUAAAGGAGCUGCCUAGGGUAAGACUAGUAACUAGGGCUAAGUCAUAACAAGGUAGCCGUA